rnacentral:rRNA from 1 species
UACGUAGGGGGCAAGCGUUGUCCGGAUUUAUUGGGCGUAAAGAGCGUGUAGGCGGCCAGAUAGGUCCGUUGUGAAAACUCGAGGCUCAACCUCGGGACGCCGAUGGAAACCAUUUGGCUAGGAGUCCGGAAGAGGAGAGUGGAAUUCCUGGUGUAGCGGUGAAAUGCGCAGAUAUCAGGAGGAACACCUGCGGUGUAGACGGCUUACUGGACCAUAACUGACGCUGAGGCACGAAAGCGUGGGUAGCAAACAGG